rnacentral:lncRNA from 1 species
CGUUAAAGUUGAAUCUUGAGUGUAAAAAAACAAAAAACAACGACAACGUUAUUGACGUCGCCGCAACAGUUACGACGCUUCAUAUAGUCCUAUACUUGUAUGAAAUGUAUACCGUUUUGUUGGAGUUCGUGUUGCUCGGUCUUUAGUUCUUUAUGUUACGUUUUGUGUACUAUUGUAUUGUAUUUGUCUAUUAUAUUCGGGUGCGUGCGGAGAUCUCCAAGCUAGAAAACGGUUGACAUUUUCUUCAUUACGAACUAGAACUAUUUUCGACCUUGGUGCCUUAUUUUUUGUUAAAAUCUAAACACUGCGACGUGUUUUCAAAAUCUUUGUUCCCA